GACGAACGCUGGCGGCGUGCCUAAUACAUGCAAGUCGAGCGAAGUCAUGGCGAGUCUUCGGAUUCGCUAUGGCUUAGCGGCGGACGGGUGAGUAACACGUAGGCAACCUGCCUGUAAGACCGGAAUAACUAACGGAAACGCUAGCUAAAACCGGAUAAGUGAGAGGAUCGCAUGAUCCACUUUGGAAAGGCGGAGUAAUCUGCCGCUUACAGAUGGGCCUGCGGCGCAUUAGCUAGUUGGUGGGGUAACGGCUCACCAAGGCGACGAUGCGUAGCCGACCUGAGAGGGUGGUCGGCCACACUGGGACUGAGACACGGCCCAGACUCCUACGGGAGGCAGCAGUAGGGAAUCUUCCGCAAUGGACGAAAGUCUGACGGAGCAACGCCGCGUGAGUAAUGAAGGUCUUCGGAUCGUAAAGCUCUGUUGCCAGGGAAGAACGCUUGGGAGAGUAACUGCUCUCAAGGUGACGGUACCUGAGAAGAAAGCCCCGGCUAACUACGUGCCAGCAGCCGCGGUAACAC
rnacentral:rRNA from 1 species